rnacentral:rRNA from 1 species
UACGAAGGGUGCAAGCGUUACUCGGAAUUACUGGGCGUAAAGCGUGCGUAGGCGGUCUGUUAAGUCCGUUGUGAAAUCCCUGGGCUCAACCCAGGAACUGCGUCCGAUACUGGUUGGCUUGAAUCCGGGAGAGGGACGUGGAAUUCCAGGUGUAGCGGUGAAAUGCGUAGAUAUCUGGAGGAACACCGGUGGCGAAGGCGACGUCCUGGACCGGCAUUGACGCUGAGGCGCGAAAGCCAGGGGAGCAAACGGG